GCACCAUUGGUCUAAUGGUUAGGAUAGCCGCCUUCCAAGCGGCUGGUUCGGGUUCGAUUCCCGAAUGGUGCA
rnacentral:tRNA from 1 species